GACGAACGCUGGCGGCGUGCCUAACACAUGCAAGUCGAACGAAGUGGCGAACGGGUGAGUAACGCGUAAUCAACCUGCCGUUCAGAGGGGGACAACAGUGGGAAACGACUGCUCAUACCGCAUACUGAAGGAGGGGAUGGCGUGUGAUUAGCUAGUGGGAGGGGGAACGGCCCACCAAGGCGAUGAUCAGUAGCCGGUCUGAGAGGAUGAUCAGUCACACUGGAACUGAGACACGGUCCAGACUCCUACGGGAGGCAGCAGUGGGGAAUAUUGGACAAUGGGCGAAAGCCUGAUGCAGCCAUGCCGCGUGUGUGAAGAAGGUCUUCGGAUUGUAAAGCACUUUAAGUUGGGAGGCGUUACCAACAGAAUAAGCACCGGCUAACUUCGUGCCAGCAGCCGCGGUAAUUC
rnacentral:rRNA from 1 species